rnacentral:lncRNA from 1 species
GCAAAAAUUGAUUUAUCUAAAUCUAGUAAGUUUACACUUAAUCUGACAACAUUGUUAAUCAAGUGCAAACAAAUCUGAAUUAUUUACUGCAAUGUUUAGUGAUAGUCAAAUAGCUAAACAAUUUUCUGGGAAAACAAAGUGCACUUAUCUUGUGUGCUUUGGAAUUGCGCCAUAUUUUAAGAAAAUUUUGUGUGAGACAUUAUCAGAGCUUGAUCAGUUUGUUUGCCAAUUUGAUGAAUCUUACAAACAAGUUGUCAAGAAGAGUCAGAUGGAUUUGCAUGUUAGAUAUUAGGACUCCUCAUUAAAGAUGGUUAAAACAAGGUAUUUCAAAAUUCUUGGAAAAAGCUGCUGCUGUUGAUAUGAUAAAUUUCCGUAAAUGUAUGAGUGAUUUAGAAGAAGAUAAAAUGCUCCAGGUUUUCAUGGAUGGUCCAAAUGUUAACAUGUCUUUCCUCUCUCUAUGCUAAGGGAAGUGAAUGUGAACUCAGUCAUUUAGUAUCAAUUGAAUCAUGCGGCCUUCAUGAAAUUUACUGUUCAUUCAAGAAUGGUAUAAAUGCUUUACGAUGGAAAUUGAACAAAUUGCUGUCUCCAUUUCACAAAAUAUUCCAUAAGAUUCCUUCUCGUCGUGCUGAUUUCAAAAAUCUUACUCAAGCUCAGUCUUCAGACUAUGCUCUACAGAUCUGUAGCCAUCGUUAGAUUGAAAAUGAGAAAGCAGCAAAGAGAGCUACGGAAAUAUGGCCCAAGGUUAUUGUGAUUAUUGACUUUUGAAAAAAUUUACCAAAAAGCAAGAAACCUAUUCAAUAUAAUCCUGGGCAAAAUACUAGUUAUGAAUAAAUUUCUUCAUGCUAUAAAGAUGUGUUAGUCCUUAAAAAGUUGCCAUUUUUUAAGGAAACUGCAAAACUGUUAAAUUCUUUUUUGUUAGUUUUCCAAACCAACAAUCUUUUGACACCUUUUCUUGUGGAAACACUUGAGAAUUUACUAAGGUUAUUUUUAUCAAAAUUUAUCAAAAAAUAAGUUUUGUCUGAAGCAUCCACAACUUUUAAAUUAUUAAAAGUUGAUACCAGUGCUGUCAAAAAUCAAGUGUUGGUUGCAACUAUUGAUCUUGGGUUUGGAAUAAAAUAUGAUAUGCAACAACUGAAAUCUAGAAAAAAGGUACUGAUGCACAAAUCUAUAAUUUUAAAACAGAAGUUCAACAGUUUUUAGUUACAAUGUGCAAACAUAUGAUUGAAAAAAGUGCUCUAAACUCAUACUUUGCCAGAUACUUAUUAUGUUUAUCACCUUUGUACAUGGUUGAAUCUCAUUAGAUGUGUGAACUUUAUUUUGACAAGUUGUUGCUGAAAUUAGUUGCUUAUAAAAAGGCAUCACCUUCAGUUGCUGAUCAAGCCAAAUUACAGUAUUCACAAUUUUAAACUACUGUUGCAAAAGUGAACGAGGAAAAAUAGUUUUUCAAUCGUUUUGUUUUUCUGAUUUGAUUAUUUCUUUUUAUGACUGGAUAAUAUAAAACAUAAAAUAGUUUGGCUGUGUAUUUUAACGAUUUUUGAUUAUUUAUUGUUUGUUACUUAGUCAUAAAGUCAUCUUUUUAAUGCAAUGUUAAAUUUGUUAAAUUUCUAAUGCAAGUAUGAUUUGUUUUAAGUUAAUAUUUUUGUUUGGAACCUAAUUUUGUCUUAAUUAUUUUAGCUAGGCAUUCUUACAGUUUUUAAAUAAAAUGAAAAUUUUUUUAAGUGCCACUUUAUUUUUGAACCUCCUAAAAUCUCCUAAGAUUUUUAUCCUUUUUUUUCAAAUUUCCCAAUAAAUCUCCUUAAAAACCUUAAAAAUCUCCUAUAUUAUCCUAAAUUAUCCUAAUAUUUUUAAACAAAAAAAGUGUGGUUACCCUGUCUACCCUUCAUCUUCUAGGGUUAACUCUUACUUCUGACCUUUCUUGGAAACAUAUAUCAAAUUCGUUGCAAAAUUAGGAUUUGGUAAAGUUGCAUCUCUUUAUCGAGCUCAACACUUUCUUACUCUGGAUUCUAUUUUCUAUCUCUAUAAAUCUCAAAUCCGGCCUUGUAUGGAAUACUGUUGCCAUAUCUGGGGCAGAUCUUCUAAUGAUGCUCUUUCUCUUUUAGACAAGGUGCAAAAACGCAUUGUAAACAUAAUUGGACCUGCUCUUGCAGCCAACCUUCAACCUUUAUCACAUCGCCGUAAUGUUGCUUCUCUUUCUCUUUUCUACAAAUACCAUAAUGGGCACUGCUCCAAAGAGCUAGCACCACUUGUGUCAUCUACUAAAAUUCAUUCUUGUGUUACUCGUCAUUCAAUUAAGUCUCAUCCUUUUUCUAUUACUGUUCCUAAGUGCUCCAAAAACUCAUUAGUCUAGUUUUUUUCCGCGAACAUCAGUUCUUUGGAAUUCGCUUGCUUUAUUUUGCUUUCCAGAUUCAUAUAACUUGCAAUCUUUUACGUCGUCUGUCAAUCGGUAUCUUACUCUACAAUCUUCAUCUUCUCUCUUCCAGUAUCUUCCAACACUAACUAGUGGUUGCUUGUAGCCUUGUUGGAAGCGAAGAUGUUUAAAAAAAAAAAAGAUAAAUAAAAUCUAAAUGUUAGUGAUAUUGAUUAUUUUUGCAUUUAUUAAAAUAUAUAAAAGAUAUUAAACCCUCACCAACUGAUUUAAGGGUUUGAUGUCAGGUUAACUUGAGUCAAGACUUUAAAUUUUAAAUGCUAAUAUUUUAGUCAUGUUAUAUUAUUGUUGUUAACAAGUCUAUUUAUGUCAUACCUAAUUAAUAACAUCAAACAUUUACCGUGAAAUAACAUUGUUUUAGAUUCCCUACAAUUUGCCUGUUAAAAAGAAAAACUGAAGAAACUUUAAAACUAGAUGAUGGCAACUGAAGAGGCCUCUACUUCAAUCUGGAUAUUGUUAUAACUCGUAUAUCGAUUUAUAUACUGUAUUGAGUUAGCUUGUGAUUUGUACGUGUGUAUUUGUUUGCCUAGUGUUUGUUAGUUAUAUGCAAGAUAUUGCAUGGUAUGGCACUCUGCAUGUGCAAAAGUGGAUGAAAGCACUAAAAAACUUUAUGGUAGCAAUAUGAAAGAACUAUUGUGGCAGUGAUUAUGGUCGCGAUAUGAGAGAACUAAUGUGGCAGAAUAUUACUAUCGUAGAACAGUUUUGCAUCAAAUCAUUGUAUAAUAUUAGUUUUUUGUUGCUUAAAAAUAUUAUGAAAUUCAAAA